UUGAUGGCGACCGGCGCACGGGUGAGUAACGCGUAUCCAACCUGCCUGUUACCACGGCACAGCCCGUCGAAAGGCGGAUUAAUGCCGUAUGUGGUCUUGAGAGGGCAUCUGAUCAUGACUAAAGGUUCAGCGGUAACGGAUGGGGAUGCGUCCGAUUAGCUAGACGGCGGGGUAACGGCCCACCGUGGCUACGAUCGGUAGGGGUUCUGAGAGGAAGGUCCCCCACACUGGAACUGAGACACGGUCCAGACUCCUACGGGAGGCAGCAGUGAGGAAUAUUGGUCAAUGGGCGUAAGCCUGAACCAGCCAAGUAGCGUGAGGGAAGACUGCCCUAUGGGUUGUAAACCUCUUUUGUGCGGGGAUAAAGUGAGGGACGUGUCCCUUAUUGCAGGUACCGCACGAAUAAGGACCGGCUAAUUCCGUGCCAGCAGCCGCGGUAAUACGGAAGGUCCGGGCGUUAUCCGGAUUUAUUGGGUUUAAAGGGAGCGCAGGCCGUCCUUUAAGCGUGCUGUGAAAUGCCGCGGCUCAACCGUGGCACUGCAGCGCGAACUGGAGGACUUGAGUACGCACGAGGUAGGCGGAAUUCGUGGUGUAGCGGUGAAAUGCUUAGAUAUCA
rnacentral:rRNA from 1 species